UCCUACGGGAGGCAGCAGUAGGGAAUCUUUCACAAUGGGCGAAAGCCUGAUGGAGCAACGCCGCGUGCAGGAUGAAGGCCUUCGGGUUGUAGACUGCUUUUAUAAGCGAGAAAUAUGAUGGUAACUUAUGAAUAAGGAUCGGCUAACUACGUGCCAGCAGACGCGGUAAUACGUAGGUGGCGAGCGUUAUCCGGAAUGAUUGGGCGUAAAGGGUGCGUAGGCGGCCUGCUAAGUCUGGAGUGAAAGGUACCGGCUCAACCGGUACAGGCUCUGGAAACUGGCGG
rnacentral:rRNA from 1 species